rnacentral:tRNA from 1 species
GUCACUGGCGCAGUGGUAAGCACGGUUGCCUCAUGAACAAUGUGUCCGUGGUUCAAGUCCCGGCAGUGACG